GCCCUGAUAGCUCAGGGGUAGAGCGCGCCACUUGGUAAGAUACACUCUCUAACGUAUGUAUGUAAAACAAACACUAACUUCCACUCAGUAUUGUUAAAAAGCACAUGGCGAGGCCGGUGGUUCAAAUCCGCCUUGGGGCA